UACGAAGGGGGCUAGCGUUGUUCGGAAUUACUGGGCGUAAAGCGCGCGCAGGCGGCUAUCCAAGUCAGUGGUGAAAGCCCGGAGCUCAACUCCGGAACUGCCAUUGAAACUGUUUAGCUGGAGUAUGAGAGAGGUGAGUGGAAUUCCCAGUGUAGAGGUGAAAUUCGUAGAUAUUGGGAAGAACACCGGUGGCGAAGGCGGCUCACUGGCCCAUUACUGACGCUCAUGCGCGACAGCGUGGGGAUCAAACAGG
rnacentral:rRNA from 1 species